rnacentral:rRNA from 1 species
UACGUAGGGGGCGAGCGUUGUCCGGAAUUACUGGGCGUAAAGGGUGCGUAGGCGGAAUGUCAAGUCAGAUGUGAAAUACCCGGGCUUAACCCGGGGGCUGCAUUUGAAACUGACAUCCUUGAGUGCAGGAGAGGCAAGUGGAAUUCCUAGUGUAGCGGUGAAAUGCGUAGAUAUUAGGAGGAACACCGGUGGCGAAGGCGACUUGCUGGACUGUAACUGACGCUGAGGCACGAAAGCGUGGGGAGCAAAC